AAGCCUCGGGGGGCAGCAGUGGGGGAUAUUGCACAAUGGGGGAAACCCUGAUGCAGCGACGCCGCGUGGGUGAAGAAGCGCCUCGGCGCGUAAAGCCCUGUCAGCAGGGAAGAAAAUGACGGUACCUGAAGAAGAAGCCCCGGCUAACUACGUGCCAGCAGCCGCGGUAAUACGUAGGGGGCAAGCGUUAUCCGGAUUUACUGGGUGUAAAGGGAGCGUAGGCGGGACUGCAAGUUGGGUGUCAAAUCUACCGGCUCAACCGGUAGCCGCACUCAAAACUG
rnacentral:rRNA from 1 species